UCUUGAUAUUUCUUGAUAUUUCUAUAAAUAAACAUUCUAAAAUCAGCACAUGUUGGGCCCUACGGUGGGUCGUGGGCUUGCAUCACUUAAAGGUACUAGUAUUGUUUCUUGUCAAUAUCAGUGAUGGCAUGGAUACUUCUAAGGUGUUUAAACAAUAUCAUAUCGUGUUGGGUUCAUAACUUUCUGGGCUCCUAUGAAUUUCAUAUACCUGUUUUCAUAUCCUUGGCCUUGACUUCAGCAAAUGUGGAGUUGUAUUCCUGCUCUCUAUAUCCAUCUCCAUAUCUGCAUCCAUGUCUGCGCAUCAUAACUAAUGCUCAAGAAUGAUUUGAAGGGAUUAAACUUGUUAACAUUAUUCUUAUGGGUAUAAUAAUCAUGUCUAUGAUUAUGACUGAAGUGUACCUGCACAGGUAAAUAAGUGAAACUCAGAGAUAGGGAAUACCCUUUUCCCCCUUUUUGGUAGGUAAGCUGGCUUGAACUUGGGACUUCAAUGUUGAAGCAGACAAUGUCUUCCAUUGAUCCAUGAGCUUGAACCCAGAUAAUAAUCAUUCUAUAGACCAAAACACUGUCUAACAUCCAGAAUGUUUGUUUUCUGUUUCAAAUUGCCGAGGAGUAAAAAAUGUGGACUUCUUUUUCUUGAACUAAAGAACUGAUGUCCAGAACCAAAAUUUCUUGGAGAAAUAAAUUUUUAAAAAAAAAAAAGAAAAAAAAAGAAAAGAAAGAAAGAAGAGCUGCAACCUGGUAUUUGAAGCCACCUAAGCAGUCUUUUGGCAAGAGAUUUAGUUGGUAGAGCCAAUCAUUUUGUUUGCCCAUAUAGUGAGUGGGGCGUAUGAGAUGGCUGAGACUUCGGAUAAAGAGGGUGUCGGUAGAUCUUUUCUACUUGUUGCAAUUUCUUCUCCACUUUUUGACAUACUCAUUCAGUUCUCUGAAAAAAAUUUCUGUCAUUCAUCAGAAAGUCUUCUCACCAGAUAGCAUCAGAACUCCAAAGUAAGCGUCUUGGGCAAAGGCUAGGAUUGGUGAUGGAAGUCCUCAUGCACCCGUUCUCUUUAAUAAUAAUUAUGGAGAAAAGAAGGAAAAGAAACAAAACAAAAGAGGUCUAAGAUGGAAAUUAAAAACUCAAUCUGGCACUUGAGGUAUCACUCAGUUUUCCUUAAAACCUGGGAUGUGAGAACUUAACCAAGCUAUUCUCAGAUUGAACAAGUUUAUAUGACUUGGUAAAUCUUUUGCAAAAAGACCUUAGCAAAAUUUGGAUAAAUUCUAGACAGACUUGUAUGGGAAUUUGAAGUUCUUCCCUCAUAUAAAUAAGGGUGUCUUAAAUGCUUUUGCUAGCAGCUAUGAUCCGGUUAAGUUUGUUAUAAUUGGUUGUUUUUACAUGGUUUGUGGCUGUUGUGUUUUAUUUCUCCUUUUCGUGUCAUUAAUUAAUAUUUAUUUUGAACAAUUAAACAAUGAAAAUCAAUUGGCAAUAUAAAAAAGAAAAAAGAAAAAAAGAAAGGGAGCAUUAACUUUGCUAGCAGCCAGGGAAAAACGGCAACCUGUUAGUUACAUCUGCAGCAAUGAAUAUUCACAAGUUAGCCUCAUAGCCUAGUUAUUACGAUCCACUCUGUGUUCCAAUAAGUACUAGGUCAAGGGUUCAAAUCCUGAUUACCGGGCAGAUAUAAACUUCAAGUUCAGAGAAAGGCGUCCCUUGUCCUUGCACUUAUUUGAUCAUCCUAGUAUCUUACUUGGGUACUACAUUUUCAAGAAUCAGAGUACCAUACAUACACUUAUGGGAUCUAGGAAUGUAGUGGGUUAUGCUGUAUGGUACUUAAUGACCCAACAUUACAUUUUUUGGAGAAUCGGUUGUGUGUACAUAACAAGAGUUGUGCGAGCAAACUUCAAAGAGAAUACAUGAACUGUGCAGUAAAUGAUGGUUUGAAGUUUGCUAUGGGUUUGUUACGUAGAUGAUAGGAUUAAAAAUCUGACUGGGGUGGAAACAAUAAAGGAUACACCUCUAUCUAUCGUAUCCCUCUGUGAGGAAACUUCAUAUCAUGGAGUGGCUGGGAACAUUUCUUUCACAUUCAGUCAUCGAAGCGAGUGUAUAGAGAUGGCAAAUUGUUUGACUUAAAAAAAAAAAAAAUCCAAAUUUAUGUUCCUCUUCAACGAUUUGUGCUCUCAA